rnacentral:rRNA from 1 species
UACGGAGGAGGCAAGCGUUAUCCGGAAUUAUUGGGCGUAAAGCGUGCGUAGGUGGUAAUUCAAGUCUGCUGUUAAAGCGUGAGGCUUAACCUCAUAAAGGCAGUGGAAACUGAAUUGCUAGAGAACAGAAGGGGCAACGGGAAUUCCUAGUGUAGCGGUGAAAUGCGUAGAGAUUAGGAAGAACACCAAUGGCGAAAGCACGUUGCUAGGCUGAUUCUGACACUGAGGGACGAAAGCUAGGGGAGCGAAAGGG